GUGUUGCCAGCAUGCCCUUCGGGGUGAUGGGGACUCACAGGAGACUGCCGGGGUCAACUCGGAGGAAGGUGGGGACGACGUCAAGUCAUCAUGCCCCUUAUGUCUUGGGCUGCACACGUGCUACAAUGGCCGGUACAAUGAGCUGCGAUGCCGUGAGGCGGAGCGAAUCUCAAAAAGCCGGUCUCAGUUCGGAUUGGGGUCUGCAACUCGACCCCAUGAAGUCGGAGUUGCUAGUAAUCGCAGAUCAGCAUUGCUGCGGUGAAUACGUUCCCGGGCCUUGUACACACCGCCCGUCACGUCACGAAAGUCGGUAACACCCGAAGCCGGUGGCCCAACCCCUCACGGGGAGGGAGCUGUCGAAGGUGGGACUGGCGAUUGGGACGAAGUCGUAACAAGGUAGCCGUACCGGAAGGUGCGGCUGGAUCACCUCCUUU
rnacentral:ncRNA from 1 species